GACGAACGCUGGCGGCGUGCUUAACACAUGCAAGUCGAACGGAAAGGCCCUGCUUUUGUUUGGUUCUCGAUUGGCGAACGGGUGAGUAUCACGUGUGUAUCCUGCCCUUGACUUUGUGAUAACUUCUGGAAACUGGGGCUCAUACCGGAUAGGAGCUCCUGCUGCAUGUUGGUGGUUGGAAAGUUUCGGCGGUUGGGUAUGUACUCGCAGCUUAUCCGCUUCUUUGUGGGGUAGGUGAUUUACAAGGCUUUGACGGGUAGCCGGCCUGAGAGGUGGACCGGCCACAUGGGGACUGAGAGACGGCCCAGACUGGUAUGGGAGGCAACGGUGGAGAAUCUUGCACAAUAGGCGGAAGCCUGAGGCAGAAACGUCGCGUGCGGGAUGACGGGCUAUGGGUUGUAAACCGCUUUCGCCUGUAACGAAGCGUGAGUGACGGUAAUGGGUAAAGAAGCACCGGCUAACUACGUG
rnacentral:rRNA from 1 species